rnacentral:rRNA from 1 species
CUGCUUGAGAUCGAUUAGCCAUGCGAGUUGAAUGUUCUUCGUGAACAUGGCGGACUGCUCAGUAACACGUGGACAACCUACCCUUGGAUCUGGGAUAAACCCGGGAAACUGGGCAUAAUACCGGAUAAGCCACAUAUGCUGGAAUGCUUUGUGGCUCAAAGCUCCGGCGUCCAAGGAUGGGUCUGCGGCCUAUCAGGGUAGUAGUGGGUGUAAUGUACCUACUAGCCUACGACGGGUACGGGUUGUGAGAGCAAGAGCCCGGAGAUGGAUUCUGAGACACGAAUCCAGGCCCUACGGGGUGCAGCAGGCGCGAAAACUUUACAAUGCGGGAAACCGCGAUAAGGGAAUCUCGAGUGCCAGCAUAUAAUGUUGGCUGUCCAGAUGCCUAAAAAGCAUUUGUUAGCAAGGGCCGGGCAAGACCGGUGCCAGCCGCCGCGGUAACACCGGCGGCCCGAGUGGUAACCGUUAUUAUUGGGUCUAAAGGGUCUGUAGCCGGCCGAAUAAGUCUCUUGGGAAAUCUGGCAGCUUAACUGUCAGGCAGUCAGGGGAUACUGUUCGGCUUGGGACCGGGAGAGGUGAGAGGUACCUCGGGGGUAGGGGUGAAAUCUUGUGAUCCUC